UACAGAGGUCCCAAGCGUUGUUCGGAUUCAUUGGGCGUAAAGGGUGCGUAGGUGGCGGGGUAAGUUGGAUGUGAAAGCCCCGGGCUUAACCCGGGAAUGGCAUUGGAUACUGCAGAUCUGGAGGAUCGGAGGGGGGACUGGAAUUCUUGGUGUAGCAGUGAAAUGCGUAGAUAUCAAGAGGAACACCAGUGGCGAAGGCGAGUCCCUGGACGAUACCUGACACUGAGGCACGAAAGCUAGGGGAGCAAACAGG
rnacentral:rRNA from 1 species